UUUCUCCGUUUUGGGUUUAUUCCACCACCACCAACCUUCACGAUACGUGGCUUCUGUAUUUCCUCACCGCCUCACCUGCCACUCCUCUUAUGCCAUCUUCAUGAUCCACCGCCUACUUCUCUCCAUGUUUUACGUCUUUUCUCCCAAAGAGGGUUACUUUACCGGGGUUAAGGCACCGCUUCUAUCAUCUUAGUAGACAACCUUCGCAAUCCAUAUCCACUGCUUCUUUCUUCCACAGUAAAGUUCCAUCUACCGACUCCACUGCCUGCUUCAUCUGCAUUUCUUUCGUCACGAUCCCUUCCCUAUCUGCUAUUCGACUCUUCAAUUCCGCCAUAGCCGACGCCGACGAGUAUGCGUACACACAGACGUCUCCGACGAGUCUGCCCCCACCAUUGUAGAAGCCGGCGAGCCCUAAUUUCGUGUAUCUUUACUUCAACUCCGGCCACAUCCACACCCGACGAGUCAUGCUUCGAUUCCGAAUACAUUCAAUGUCGGGUCUCCCUGUGCGAUUCAUUGUUAAUAGACUUUGUGUAAGAUUAAGCCUCAAAUCAACCAACGUUCUCCUCUACCAUCCUCUGUUUCAGACCCUAAUGCGGGUAACCUUUCGUUCGUGUUUUCUUCUUUCUCCAUGUCUACUGUAUGGUCUAAAGAUGGAUAAAUUGGUGUGAAAUCAAGAUCAGACACGAUAAUGGAAACUACAAUCAUCUAUCAUUCUUUCGGAAAGUUUUACAUGGAAUGUGGGAAAGAAGUUCAGUUAAAGGUAAAUUUCAUAUUUUUUUUACUUCACUGCUCUUUAGAAAUUGGGUCAUCUACUUUCUUUUAGUUUUUGUUUAAAGUCAACAUUUCGAUAGAGCUUGAGAAUGACAUGACAUGAUAUAACUACCUAAAAUACCCAAGAGAUCAAAUAUGAGUUUUCCUUAAAAAAAAUUGCUCCAAUGGAUAAAUACUCAUGAAUCCAACAUGCUCAGAUGAAAACUCUAUAGUUGGAGACUGAUUUUCUACUGGGUUUUUUUUGGUAUCAGGUAGUUUUGGGGAUUCAUGUAUUUUUUCCUAAUUUGAGGUUAGAUUCCACUGGAAUUAAACCAAUCUCUCGCCCAUGUUCAUUUGUUCCUUUGGUAAAUUAUAGAUUUUUAUUAAUACUUUCUGGUGUGUAAGUUCUUUUCUGUUUUCAGUUUUGGACUCGCGAAGGUAUUGGAUUCGAUUUUACGGUUUUAUUGAAGGCUUAAUUUGGGGUUUUUGGUGUUGGAUACCUAUAAUCACUUUCUCAAUCUAAUCUUUUGGUUGGUACUAAAUUUGUAGGUUUAUGUGAUUUAUCAUGUAUAUGUAAGGUCUUGGAACUCCAAACCAGUUAAAAAUUUUAACUCACAUCCGGUGUGGUGAUUGUUACUAUCUGAUGAAAGCAAAAGUAGCACAAGAGGGAGGUUCAGCAGGACUUAUGUUUAUAAAUGAUACCUAAGGUUGUACAUAUAUUUAUAAAUUUUGUUACUUGCAUGAAAUGAAUGAAUAAAUAAUAAUGAUGGGGCACCAUUGAAUAUUUAAGUCUGUGUUGCAUGUAUUGUGGAGAUGAGUUGCUCUGAAAAAAAGUGAGUUGGACAUGCAUAUUUCCGAUGUUAUGAUCUCUAUCUGGCAAAGGCAAAGUGGAAGUUGUGGUAUAUGCACCGGAAAGCCCACUGAUUGGCCCUGUAUCAACAUUUUUAUGGUUGAUAGCAGCUGGAACUAUAGGAUGUGCUUAACUUUGGUCUAAUAUCACUAAAAUUAAUGACACCAAUCAACCCUACAACCAACUCUCACGAAAGGUUGAGGAGGAGGAGAAUUAAAUUAUUGAGAUGAUUUGGUGCUGCUGUAUUUGUUUGUCAUCUUGGUUUGUAUGGCCGCUCAUUGUUUUUUUCGGCAUUGGAGCUGUCGAAGGGAUGCUUUCCUGUAUAUAGUAUAGUAGCACUCUUAAAAAGGUUUUUUUUUUUUUUUGUGAAGGCUUAAUGGUCAACAUCAACUUUAUGUAUCAUAUAUAAUAUGUAUUUAUUGUUGCAGCAAAUAUAGAAGUUGUGGAAAAAAGACAAGUGAAUGUGUCAUUUUUUGGGAUGACAACUGUACAAAAUGAUUUA